rnacentral:rRNA from 1 species
GAUGAACGCUGGCGGCGUGCCUAAUACAUGCAAGUCGAGCGAACAGAUGAGGAGCUUGCUCCUCUGACGUUAGCGGCGGACGGGUGAGUAACACGUGGAUAACCUACCUAUAAGACUGGGAUAACUUCGGGAAACCGGAGCUAAUACCGGAUAAUAUAUUGAACCGCAUGGUUCAAUAGUGAAAGACGGUUUUGCUGUCACUUAUAGAUGGAUCCGCGCCGCAUUAGCUAGUUGGUAAGGUAACGGCUUACCAAGGCAACGAUGCGUAGCCGACCUGAGAGGGUGAUCGGCCACACUGGAACGGAGACACGGUCCAGACUCCUACGGGAGGCGGCAGUAGGGAAUCUUCCGCAAUGGGCGAAAGCCUGGCGGAGCAACGCCGCGUGAGUGAUGAAGGUCUUCGGAUCGUAAAACUCUGUUAUUAGGGAAGAACAAAUGUGUAAGUAACUAUGCACGUCUUGACGGUACCUAAUCAGAAAGCCACGGCUAACUACGUG